rnacentral:lncRNA from 1 species
ACAGCUUAAGGAGCUGUCCUACAGGCAUUUGAACACAAAAAGUAAACAUGCUCAGGAGUCUAAACUCUAAAUAAUGUCCAUAGGCAGACACCAACAGUCUAUCUGGUUGGUAUCUUCAUUUCAGCUGUUCCUGCAAGCUAUCUGGAAGAUUCUCCCCUUAUUUGGACCUGCUUAAAUGAUUAUAGUGCAUUUUUGUAAUAUCCAAAGUUUGUUCACUAUGUCAUUACAUUCCCCAUAGAUGAUUGGAUUUUCUACUCUACCUGAGCUUGCAGGGUAGCACCAACAAUUGAUGCUGUUCUGCUGUCACAUCCAGACAUUCAUCUUGGUGCUUUGCCAAAUGUCAUGAAACACUUUAAACUCUCAAAAUCCAGUUUAUUCAACAGAACCUGUAUAUGGACUUGGUCUUUUGACCAUGUACGAUCAUUACCUUUACCUUUCUCAAAGAGUAAGCUUCGCACAAGCUAUAACUCUGUUAAUCUAGCAUCAUUUAUUGUAGAAAUCUUUUAGCUUAUUUUGUGGAUCAACUUGAUACAAUUGUUUCUUUCAACGAAUACAUAAUGGGGUUCAGCUUUAGUUGUGCCUUUUAUGCUCAUGACAAUGUUUACAUGUUUAAACAGGUGGCUAUCAAAUUAUAUGUCUACAUUAUAUGUUGGGUGACAAUCUGCUAAAUGGAAGAGAUAUCUUAAUGUAUUUCUAUGUUCUAGCAUGUUAAGUCUGACCAAAUGAAUGCAUUGGAUCACUAUGGCUUCUUUUAUUUUUUUGUCUCUAGUUUUGAGGGUUGGAAUAUUUUACAUCUUUAAAUCAGAGGCAUUAAUGGAAUCAUAUAAUUUUCUAUUUCAUCAUAAAUAUGAUGAUAUCUUGG